AAUCUUAUAUUUUAUAUAUAAAAUAUUAAAUUGCAAAUUUAAAGAAGAAUUUCUAAGAUUU
rnacentral:tRNA from 2 species